rnacentral:rRNA from 1 species
AACGAACGCUGGCGGCGUGCCUAAGACAUGCAAGUCGUGCGAGAAAGCACCUUCCGGGUGUGAGUACAGCGGCGCACGGGUGAGUAACGCGUGGGCAACCUGCCUUCGGGUUCGGGACAACCCCGGGAAACUGGGGCUAAUACCGGAUGAGACCACGAGCUCCUCGGAGCUUGCGGAAAAAGAUGGCCUCUCCUUGGAAGCUAUUGCCUGAAGAUGGGCCCGCGUCCCAUUAGCUUGUUGGUGAGGUAACGGCUCACCAAGGCGACGAUGGGUAGCUGGUCUGAGAGGACGAUCAGCCACACUGGAACUGAGACACGGUCCAGACUCCUACGGGAGGCAGCAGUCGGGAAUUUUGGGCAAUGGGGGCAACCCUGACCCAGCAACGCCGCGUGAGGGAUGAAGGCCCUCGGGUCGUAAACCUCUGUCAGGAGGGAAGAACGGCCCCCGGUGCGAAUAGUGCCGGGGGAUUGACGGUACCUCCAAAGGAAGCGCCGGCUAACUCCGUG